AGCCUUCCCCUUCGGGGGACAAAGUGACAGGUGGUGCAUGGUUGUCGUCAGCUCGUGUCGUGAGAUGUUGGGUUAAGUCCCGCAACGAGCGCAACCCUUAAGCUUAGUUGCCAUCAUUAAGUUGGGCACUCUAAGUUGACUGCCGGUGACAAACCGGAGGAAGGUGGGGAUGACGUCAAAUCAUCAUGCCCCUUAUGAUUUGGGCUACACACGUGCUACAAUGGACAAUACAAAGGGCAGCGAAACCGCGAGGUCAAGCAAAUCCCAUAAAGUUGUUCUCAGUUC
rnacentral:rRNA from 1 species